AGUUAAUGAUCUUGAA
rnacentral:tRNA from 1 species